rnacentral:rRNA from 1 species
CUAUACAUGACUCUGCGCAUAUCAAUAAGCGGAGGAAAAGAAACUAACAAGGAUUCCCUUAGUAACGGCGAGUGAAGCGGGAAGAGCUCAAAUUUGAAAUCUUGAAAGGUCACCUUUCACGAAUUGUAGUUUAAAGAAGUGUCUUCUGUUACGAUCGUAAUAUAAGUUCUUUGGAAUAGGACAUCACAGAGGGUGAGAAUCCCGUCUAUGAUUGCGAUUUGUAGCUUUGUGAUACACUUUCAAAGAGUCGGAUUGUUUGGGAAUGCAGUCCAAAACGGGAGGUAAAUUUCUUCUAAGGCUAAAUAUUGGCGAGAGACCGAUAGCGAACAAGUACCGUGAGGGAAAGAUGAAAAGAACUUUGAAAAGAGAGUUAAAUAGUACGUGAAAUUGUCAAAAGGGAAGCGUUUAACACCAGUGUUGUUUUCUGAAAAUCAACCUCUGUUAGCUUUAUGCAUGUUUGUUUAGACCUAAUCAGCUAUCUUGCAUGUUCUAUUGUUUGCAGUGGUGCACUUUUCAGUUUACAGGUCAACAUCAGUUUUUUUACCGUAAAAAAGUUAAAGAAAGGUAGCUCAUGGCUCCGGUCGUGAGUGUUAUAGUCUUUUUCCUAUGCGGUAGGAGAGACUGAGGUCUGCAGUGUAGGCUAUUUGGCUAGAUACUCAGGUGCUAUGUGAUACCAUUUCAUAAACAACUUGUUGAUUAUGUUUUGUCUAUUGCAUACUCGCUUGUACUAUCAUACCUACGCUUAGGAUGUUGAGUCGUAGAGCACGCAG